CACAUACAUCGGGAUGUAAUGGAUUUUAAAGUCAAAAUCACAAUGGACAAUAAUUUGUUUUUCUUUUUUGUUUUUUUCAUAUAUACAAAAAACAAAAAAUAGUUAAUGUUCUUGCUUAGAGAUCCCCUGCUGGUGAAUGUGGGUAGGAUUUGGGCUAAAGGGUUAUGAUUAUGUACCAAGGAGAAGGGUGGUUCACAGUCCCAGGUGUAAGUGUUCAG